CCCGCGGUCCCCGCGUCGCGGUCCGCCCCGAGCCCGCCCCGAGCCCGCCGCAGCCCGGCCCCCAGCACCGCCGGCGAAGCCGCUUACCCGAGACAAUAACGUUAGAAGCCUAAGGAAGCCAGUUCGCGGGAGGCUUAAUUUUUGCGCCCGCAAAGUUAGGGAUUUGGGCCGACAUAAAUUCCCAGGACUAAAAUCAUGACAGCGACCAUUACCGAGCUCUUCGCGCUCAGUGUCCCACACACAUCAUCUCCUCUAAUCCGCCCCGCACCACGGUUAGGUACGACGCAGGCUCCUCUCUGAGGGGAACCGGGCACAGAGUCUUAAUAGCGGUGUUAUUUUACGGCUCUGGGUCGCGGAAUUUUCCGAGCAGGGUAUUUUAGGAAGCCACUGUUUAAACAAUAGGUUGAAGAAAGUGAAUGUUGCCGUCGGGGGUCGGAUACCGCCUCCACGGAGGUUCACCCUACUGGGUCGUCCACGGAAUCGGUGAGCGGUGGUGAGCACAGUGCCGAAGCGCGAAGGUUUCGUGACCCACCGGGACCCUUUUAGGCUAUAAGGCAAAUGACAAUGCGGAGACCAACAGUCCUUCGAAGUCUCCAGAUGGGGAAUAAUAGUAGUUUGGACACAUGCACGUGGAAGAUAAGGAACUCCUUUCUGCUUUCAUGACAACACUGAGGACAAAGAUCUAUGUACUAAGGAUGGUGGAACAGGAAAAUGAAAAACGCUUGGGCCCCCAGUGCUACCACAGAGCUGCAGUGAGUAGCCUUGUUCUACCUACCUGCCCCUCCCCAGUCUUCUGUGUGAAUCAGAUCAACCUCUCUCUACACCAUUUGUGAGGUCUUCCUGCUAUUGUAGACAAAUACAUUCCUGACUCACAACUCUGGGACUUUUUUCAACUGUAAUAAUGUAUUACUUUUACAAUAAUAAGAUAAUAAUGGUUUUAAAUAAAAACGAGGUGUGCAAGAGCCCAAGUUCUGGAUCAGGGAGGGGGCUAAGUUAGAAUCCAGAUUUUCUGCAUACUAAUCGUCUGACUUUUGACAACUUAACUAUUUCCAAGUCUCAAUUUCCUUACCAAUUUUCUAUCAAUAACAAAAAUAAUAGUGAUGAUAGCAUCUAGCAUAGCCUACAUGGGUUGUUGUAAGGCACAUAGUGAGCACAUGGUAAAGUAUAGCUAUUAAUAUCACUACUAGGUACCCCAACACACACUGCCCCUCCCAUCCUCUGCUGUUUGUUCCUAAAACAUGAAUGACAUACACCAAAGAGCACUGGAGGUCAAAAGAAUUGGUUUCUGAUCCUCUACCACCAGUUUGUGUGACUUUUGGAAAUAUAUUAUUUGUCUUGGCAUUAAAGUUUGAAUCUGGAAUAUACAUGGGACAAGAUUGUGGAUAGGUCAUUCUUGACUUUAAAAUUUUAUAAUUAUUAAAAAACCAAAGAACUGAUUAUCAAAAAAUCAGAUUAUUGCUUUCUUCCAGGAGCAGGAAGAUAGCUAUGAUCAAGGAGAGGCACAUGAGGUAGAAGUGGGGACUUUGACAAGGGUGGAAAUAUUUAUUUAUCCAGUUGGUGGCUACAUAGUAGUUUGCUUUAUAAUUAUUCAUCAAACUGUACUUAUAUGCCUUAAUGUACUUUUUUGUACAUAUCUUAUAUCUCACAAGUGUUAGAAAAUCAAAGUUUAUGAUUGUGUUUAGAGGUAUACUAUUUGCUCCUGCCCUAUGUUACAAAUAUUUUGUUCUACUUGUAUAUUUAGGAAUAAGAUUUGCAAUAUACUUUCUUAUACAGCUUCCUUAUUGAUAGGAUGGUUCCUUUCAUUGUUGCCUUGCACCUUUGUCUCCUGUAGGAAGAGAGAAGGGAGCAGAUAUCUCCCCAGGAAGGAGGAAGGCAUAAGGUUAAGUUUCUGAAAGCCAGUAGGGGCAGUAUAGCAAGAUGGGAAGGUGCUCAAAGGUCUGAAGACAAGGAAGGACUUCUCAUCCUGAAGGCAAUGUAAUCCACCAGAGGUGCCAUUACCAUCACCUCUUACACAGAGAAGAAGAAAACACCCUGCCCCUUUUGGCUCUCAUCCAGAAAGGCAGGCUUGCUCCUCCCAUCCCAUCCCAUCAGGCCAUAAAAUGAGAGACUGAAAGCACAAGCAGGGGAUGCAGCAGAGGGAGAGGGAGAAGCAGAUUCUCUGC